AGAGUUCUGCAGUCCGAGGACCCUUGGCCCCACAGCUGGAUAUUCCACCACUGCCUUCACCCCUGUCUGCCCCGGGAUUUGGGGUCUGACCAGUGCUCCCAGGGGGGUUUGGGGUCUGACCGGUGUUCCCAGGGGUGUUUUGGGGUCUGACCAGUGCUCCUGGGGGGUUUGGGCUCUGACCAGGGCCCCGUUCCCUUUGUUCCCAGAUUCUGUUACACUUUUCCCUCAGGUUGUGGCUGUGGGGAAGGCGGAGGGGGGGCUGAGUACCCUGGGGGGCAUCCAGGCCUGGGGGGGCUCAGGGCAGGGCAGACCCCCCUCCUUCCUUUGUGUUUCCCUCCCCUGGUGGGAUCUUUGCCCCUGGUGCUCUGGGGGUGGAGGGGUCUGGGCCAGGGGUGCUGUUCCCCCCUCAGGGUGAUGCUCUGGGGGUGGGGAGCUCAGGGCCAGGGGUGCUGUGCCCCCUCACCCCUGUUCGGCUCCUGGGGGGGUCUGGGGUGCAGUGGGGGGUAAAUUAUUUUUUUGAUUCAGAGUAAAACCCUUUUCUAAGA